AUUGAACGCUGGCGACAUGCCUUACACAUGCAAGUCGAACGGCAGCACGGGUGCUUGCACCUGGUGGCGAGUGGCGAACGGGUGAGUAAUACAUCGGAACAUGUCCUGUAGUGGGGGAUAGCCCGGCGAAAGCCGGAUUAAUACCGCAUACGAUCUACGGAUGAAAGCGGGGGACCUGCGGGCCUCGCGCUAUAGGGUUGGCCGAUGGCUGAUUAGCUAGUUGGUGGGGUAAAGGGCUACCAAGGCGACGAUCAGUAGCUGGUCUGAGAGGGCGACCAGUCACACUGGGACUGAGACACGGCCCAGACUCCUACGGGAGGCAGCAGUGGGGAAUUUUGGACAAUGGGCGAAAGCCUGAUCCAGCAAUGCCGCGUGUGUGAAGAAGGCCUUCGGGUUGUAAAGCACUUUUGUCCGGAAAGAAAUCCUUGGCCCUAAUACGGUCGGGGGAUGACGGUACCGGAAGAAUAAGCACCGGCUAACUACGUG
rnacentral:rRNA from 1 species